rnacentral:rRNA from 1 species
CCUACGGGAGGCAGCAGUGGGGAAUAUUGCACAAUGGGGGGAACCCUGAUGCAGCGACGCCGCGUGGGUGAAGAAGCGCCUCGGCGCGUAAAGCCCUUUCAGCAGGGAAGAAAAUGACGGUACCUGAAGAAGAAGCCCCGGCUCACUACGUGCCAGCGGCCGCGGUCAUCAGUAGGGGGCAAGCGUUAUCCGGAUUUACUGGGUGUAAAGGGGGCGCAGGCGGCGAUGGAAGCCAGGAGUGAAAGCCCGGGGCCCAACCCCGGGACUGCUCUUGGUACUGCGUGGCUUGAGUGCAGGAGGGGCAGGCGGAAUUCCUGGUGGAGCGGUGAAAUGCGUAGAUAGCAGGAGGAACACCGGUGGCGAAGGCGGCCUGCUGGACUGCAACUGACGUUGAGGCCCGAAAGCGGGGGGAGCGAACAGGAUUAGAUACCCCUGUAGUC